GACGAAAUAUGGGUGCGAUUGGAAAAGAGUCCAGAUCCUACCCACCUAUCUGCCACUCCGUCUCUCUCUUCCCUCUCGCUCAUCUCGCUCUUCUCUCCCACUCCGUUAGACGAAGACAAAGACGAAGGAAGACAGCAACCACUACCCACCCAUCUGCUCCUCGCCGUUUCCUCAAUUCCGAAGAUGUCACAGUUGAUCACUUGUCGUCGGGGUGUGACCAAUGCGCCUCCCGCAUUUUCAGCACCUACUGCUUCAGCCAUGAGUGCUCGAUUGAUUGGGGAGCCUACACCCCUUACUGAGGCUACUCCUAAGGUGUCCCAAGUGCCCGUAUCAUCGGCAUCAUUAGUGUCGGUUUAGCAGCUCAGUGCACGGCGGCCUCACCGGCGCCGUCGCCAUCUGAAGCCUUCUGAUCACACUUCUUGGGCAUCCACAGUCAAGGGUAGAGGCUCCCAGCCAAGUACCUCACCACGUUGUAUUUUUUUUUCAUUUUAAAACUAUUAUUUGUAUGAUUGUGAAAAUUUCAUGCAUUGUGAAAAUGUGUUGUAGGUGUGAAUUACUGUUAUUUUACUGUUUUUAGGUUUUGCGAAAUGAUAUACUAUUAGGGGAGGUUUUGUUGAAUUUUUUGUAGAAAUUUAAGAUUAGGGUUUUCACCAUUUAAGUUACUUUGGGUAGCUAAAAAACACCAAGGGGCCUAAUUGAAUGCUGAAGCCGACACACAAUGUAUGUCUGUCCAACGAAUUGAUCAAGAUUGCGUAUGACUCACGACAUCGUGGAGCGCCUACCUCACAGAAGCAUAUAGCAGCAUUGUUACCAGCUAUGGUUUUGUUAUUCAAUGGCAUUGUCCUCUGCAGUGGGAGUCUUGGGCAGAAAUUCCGGAGAGGACGAAGAAACCGGUGCGGGAUGCGUUGUCGGUCAUUUAUAAUCUUGAGAACAUAUCCCCCGAGGUUGCAUCCUACUUAGAGAACUUAGCAACUUGGUACAAACAUUGGAAGUGUGACUCCACGCGCAUUUUAAGAAAUGGGAUGAUCCGGAGAUUGCUCGCCUAGAGGGUUGCCCAAUUGAGUUGUUGGAGCAGCUUAAGGAUUGGGAGUGGCUCUGCAAACAUUUUAAAAGACACAAAAUUUGUGAAUAAAUUUGUUGUUGCCAAGAAAGCUCGAGAGUCAGACACUUCUUCACCAUUUUGGUUCGAUGCCCUUCUCGUAUAGGGUUGAGGCGCGACGUCAGAAGGGUUCUAAGGUCCCAGAGCUCGACAUGUUCAAGGACGUUUAUGUUCGACCCAACGAUGAGACCACUGAGCAGCUCCAUGCUGCAAUGGUGGAGAAGGUCAUUGUUGUUCUCCAAGAAGCAGCAUCGCAGCUUCCCUUGGAGACCCUGAUCGAGAACGUCACUGUACCCGAGGAUGCAGGUUUUCAGAUCCUCACUGAGAUCCUGGAUCAGAAGCUCGGUCAUCGUCAUGGUAAGGUUGUUUGGGGCAUGGGGAAGGCGCAAGUUCGUGAGACGGGUGCCUCAUUUUCUAGACCAAUCACAUGAUAGGUCAUCGCCCUAACGGAGGAUGUGGAAACCUUAAAAGGUAAGAUUGCGGUCCAGAAAGCAGCCUGGGAUGCUCGGGAAGCCCAAAUUGGAGCCCAGUUUUCGGCCCAAGACGAGAAGAUGAGCAUGAUCUUACGCGCCUUACAGAUGUCCGGCCUCCAAAUCGCGAUGCUAGCACCUGUUCGUACUCCACCUUUGAAGUGGCUGGGAGGUCAAAGGUGGAGCAAGAUCAGGUGCUGGCAUCGAGAUUUGGAGGCCGGACAUCUGUAAGGCUCGUAAGAUCAUGCUCAUCUUCUCGUCCUGGGCUGAAAACUGGGCUUCCCAAGCAUCUCAGGCUACUUCCUGGGCCGCAAUCUUACAUUUUAGGAUUUCCACUUCCUUUGUUAGGGCAAUGACCUAUCAUGUGGUCAGUCUAGAAGAGGACACACCUGUGUCACGAACUCGCGCCUUCCUUAUACCCCGAACAACCUUGCCAUGACGACAACCGAGCUUCUGAUGGUACAAUGCAAGUAUUGUCGUCGUGCAAACCCUGCCCUCAUGACCUUUGCACACGACAAAGUUUUUGUUGGGUUAAUUUUCAGUUAGCUCGGUCAGUGAACACAAUAACACACUUCUUGCAACAAUGAGUCCCUUGGCUUCCCUUAGCACGACAUAUCUUGGGGAACUUGUUGCAAGUCAAUCUCACCUUGCGUUUUUGCAAGAUAAAGCGGUCGCUUCCAUGUAACAUAUUUGAAGGUUGUGAUUCAGUGAACACAAUAACACACUUCUUGCAGCAAUGAGUCCCUGGGCUUCCCCUAGCAUGACAUAUCCUGGGGAACUUGUUACAAGUCAAUCUCACCUGGCGUUUUUGCAAGAGAAAGUGGUCACUUCCACGUAACAUACUUGAAGGUUGUGAUUCAGUGAACACAAUAACACACUUAUUGCAACAAUGAGUCCCUGGGCUUCCCUUAGCAUGACAUAUCCUUUGGAACUUGUUAGAAGUCAAUCUCACCAGGCGUUUUUGCAAGAGAAAGCGGUCGCUUCCACGUAACAUAUUUGAAGGUUGUGAUUCAAUUUCGUUUAACGGAGAAUUCGAAAACUCAUCAAUGGUUGCAUCUUCGUAGUAUUGUUGGGAUUGUACUUCAUUGGAUUCAAUGCUUAGAAUAGGAGACAAGAGGGGGAUAGAUAUGAAGAAACAAUGUAUAAUCAACUUCAUGGUGAAAGAAAUAAUGUGAAGAGCUAGGCUUGCUAGAGAGAGGUUUAAUGUUGGAAACUAGAGACCGAAUAGAGGCUUAGAUGGGAGGGAAUGUUUGAUUAAGGAUGACAAUGGAGGUGGGUUUAUAUAGUAAAGCUUACAUGCAGAUAUUUUCCUCUCGA